CAGUCGCCGCGGUAAAACGAGGGGGGCAAGCGUUGUUCGGAAUUAUUGGGCGUAAAGGGCGCGUAGGCGGUUUGGCAAGUUUGGUGUGAAAUCUUCGGGCUCAACUCGAAGUCUGCAUCGAAAACUGCCGGGCUUGAGUAUGGGAGAGGUGAGUGGAAUUUCCGGUGUAGCGGUGAAAUGCGUGGAUAUCGGAAGGAACACCUGUGGCGAAAGCGAGGUCCUGGACGUUUUCUGACGCUGAGACGCGGAAGCUAGGGGAGCGAACGGGAUUAGAUACCCCAGUAGUCCCUGUCUCUUAUAC
rnacentral:rRNA from 1 species